rnacentral:tRNA from 1 species
CGUCCCGCCAGCAUGGGGAUGCGAAGCCGGUCCGUCACGUGCGGAUCGGCGAGCACCUCGGGGGCGAGCCCCGUGGGUUCGGGGCCCAGCAGGAAGAC